AACGAACGCUGGCGGCAUGCCUAACACAUGCAAGUCGAACGAGACCUUCGGGUCUAGUGGCGCACGGGUGCGUAACGCGUGGGAACCUGCCCUUAGGUUCGGACUAACUCCCCGAAAGGGGUGCUAAUACCGGAUAAUGUCUUCGGACCAAAGAUUUAUCGCCUUUGGAUGGGCCCGCGUUGGAUUAGCUAGUUGGUAGGGUAAAAGCCUACCACGGCGACGAUCCAUAGCUGGUCUGAGAGGCUGAUCAGCGACACUGGGACUGAGACACGGCCCAGACUCCUACGGGAGGCAGCAGUGGGGAAUAUAGGACAAUGGGCGAAAGCCUGAUCCAGCAAUGCCGCGUGAGUGAUGAAGGCCUUAGGGUUGUAAAGCUCUUUUACCCGGGAUGAUAAUGACAGUACCGGGAGAAUAAGCUCCGGCUAACUCCGUG
rnacentral:rRNA from 1 species